AUUGAACGCUGGCGGCAUGCUUUACACAUGCAAGUCGAACGGUAACAGGCCGCAAGGUGCUGACGAGUGGCGAACGGGUGAGUAAUGCAUCGGAACGUGCCCAGUCGUGGGGGAUAACGCAGCGAAAGCUGCGCUAAUACCGCAUACGAUCUAUGGAUGAAAGCGGGGGACCGUAAGGCCUCGCGCGAUUGGAGCGGCCGAUGUCAGAUUAGGUAGUUGGGGGGGUAAAGGCUCACCAAGCCAACGAUCUGUAGCUGGUCUGAGAGGACGACCAGCCACACGGGGACUGAGACACGGCCCAGACUCCUGCGGGAGGCAGCAGUGGGGAAUUUUGGACAAUGGGCGCAAGCCUGAUCCAGCAAUGCCGCGUGCAGGAAGAAGGCCUUCGGGUUGUAAACUGCUUUUGUACGGAACGAAAAGGCUCUGGAUAAUACCUGGGGCUCAUGACGGUACCGUAAGAAUAAGCACCGGCUAACUACGUGCCAGCCGCCGCCGUAACAC
rnacentral:rRNA from 1 species